CUACGGGCGGCUCCAGUAGGGAAUAUUGCACCAUGGGCGAAAGCCUGAUGCAGCAACGCCGCGUGAGCGAUGAAGGCCCUCGGGUCGUAAAGCUCUUUUCAAGGGGAAGAGGAAGGACGGUACCCUUGGAAUAAGUCUCGGCUAACUACGUGCCAGCAGCCGCGGUAAAACGUAGGAGGCGAGCGUUAUCCGGAUUUACUGGGCGUAAAGCGCGUGUAGGCGGUACAGCAAGUUGGAUGUGAAAGCUCCUGGCUUAACUGGGAGAGGUCGUUCAAAACUGCUGAACUAGAGUACGGUAGAGGAAAAUGGAAUUCCGGGUGUAGUGGUGAAAUGCGUAGAUAUCCGGAGGAACACCAGAGGCGAAAGCGAUUUUCUGGACCGAAACUGACGCUCAGACGCGAAAGCUAGGGUAGCAAACGGGAUUAGAUACCCCCGUAGUC
rnacentral:rRNA from 1 species